AUUGAACGCUGGCGGCAGGCCUAACACAUGCAAGUCGAACGAGGGGCGGACGGGUGAGUAAUGUCUGGGAAACUGCCUGAUGGAGGGGGAUAACUACUGGAAACGGUAGCUAAUACCGCAUACCAUCGGAUGUGCCCAGAUGGGAUUAGCUAGUAGGUGGGGUAAAGGCGCACCUAGGCGACGAUCCCUAGCUGGUGUGUGAGGAUGACAAGCCAAACAGGAACUGAGACACGGUCCAGACUCCUAAGAGAGGCAGCAGUGGGGAAUAUUGCACAAUGGGCGCAAGCCUGAUGCAGCCAUGCCGCGUGGAUGAAGAAGGCCGUCGGGUUGUAAAGUACUUUCAGCGGGGAGGCGUUACCCGCAGAAGAAGCACCGGCUAACUCCGUGCCAGCAGCCGCGGUAAUUC
rnacentral:rRNA from 1 species